CUGGGAUGUUUUUUUUUGUCUAGCAGUGGCUCAAGUACUAAAUUAAGAUCACCUAGAAUCACCGGGAUUCUUUGUUUAACCAUAUCCAUCCUUUUUAGGACUUUGGUUAUAAAUGGUAAUGAAGAAUGGUUUGGUGCAUAAAGAUGAGCCAUUGUAUAUAUGAUGCUAUCAAUCUCACAAACUACUAUAAUAUAUCUUCCCUCGGUAUCUAGUUCUGUAUAUAUAUUCCUG